UUAAUUCGAUGCACGCGCAAAACCUUACCUACCCUUGACAUGCUAGGACAUUACAAGAGAUGGUUUGGUGCUCGAAAGAGAGCCUGGACACAGGUGCUGCAUGGCCGUCGUCAGCUCGUGUCGUGAGAUGUUGGGUUAAGUCCCGCAACGAGCGCAACCCUUGUCAUUAGUUGCUACGAAAGGGCACUCUAAUGAGACUGCCGGUGACAAACCGGAGGAAGGUGGGGAUGACGUCAGGUCAUCAUGGCCCUUAUGGGUAGGGCUACACACGUCAUACAAUGGCCGGUACAGAGGGUUGCCAACCCGCGAGGGGGAGCUAAUCCCAGAAAACCGGUCGUAGUCCGGAUCGUAGUCUGCAACUCGACUGCGUGAAGUCGGAAUCGCUAUGUAAUCGCGGAUCAGCUUGCCGCGGUGAAUACGUUCCCGGGUCUUGUACACACCGCCCGUCACUCCAUGU
rnacentral:rRNA from 1 species